GCAGCAAGAACCAGAACAUCCCUGGACAAAAGAGGAAACCAUGGAGCUCCCCAUAGCUGAUCAAUUCCAGCCUUUAAUGUUUUUGAAGCCUUUGAAGGACCCGGCCUACGUGGGCUGGGUCCUCAGAAAGCUGCAGCGCCUGAUUUUGGACUCGGUAGGAGAUCGGAAAAGCAGAAAGGAAGAUAAGUAAAAAAACAAAAAAAAAAAAACAGCCAA